GGAAUUGUUCGCAAUGGGCGCAAGCCUGACGACGCAACGCCGCGUGGAGGACGAAGACCUUCGGGUCGUAAACUCCUUUCGAUCGAGACGAAUGGUCUCCGGGUUAACAGCCCGGAGGAAUGACGGUACCGCGAGAAGAAGCCCCGGCUAACUCCGUGCCCGCAGCCGCGGUAAUACGGGGGGGGGCAAGCGUUGUUCGGAAUUACUGGGCGUAAAGGGCUCGUAGGUGGCCAACUAAGUCAGACGUGAAAUCCCUCGGCUUAACCGGGGAACUGCGUCUGAUACUGGAUGGCUGGAGUUUGGGAGAGGGAUGCGGAAUUCCAGGUGUAGCGGUGAAAUGCGUAGAUAUCUGGAGGAACACCGGUGGCGAAGGCGGCGUCCUGGACCAAUACUGACACUGAGGAGCGAAAGCCAGGGGAGCAA
rnacentral:rRNA from 1 species